rnacentral:rRNA from 1 species
AACCUAAAGAUAAUUUAUUUUAGGCGGUGCCUGCCCAAUGAAUUUUUUAAUGGCCGCAGUACUUUGACUGUGCUAAGGUAGCAUAAUCAAUUGUCUUUUAAUUGAAGUCUAGAAUGAAUGGAUUUAUGUAGCUCUACUGUCUCUUUAAUUUUUACUCGAAGUUACUUAAAAGGUGAAAAUUCCUUUAAGUUUUAGAAAAAAGACGAGAAGACCCUUAGAAUUUUUGUAGAAAGGGUUACUAUUAACCUACUUUUUUGUUGGGGCAACAAAAUAGCAAGAGUAAAUCUAUUCAAUUUAUACUUUUCCACAUAUCAAAUUUUGUUUUUAUUGAGUAAAUUACCUUAGGGAUAACAGCGUUAUUUCUUUUGAAGAUUGCGACCUCGAUGUUGGACUAGGAACCUAAAAAUUAAAAAUUUAUAAGGAUUGUUCUGUUCGAACAGUUUACUCCU